rnacentral:lncRNA from 1 species
AUGCAGCUCCGUUUUGCCCCAUUCUCUGAGCAGGCCACAACCCUGACUCAGGGAUCCACACAGGCCACAGGCUAUGACCUCAACGGUGCCUAUGAUGAUACAAUACCACCUAUGGAGAAAGCUCUAGGGAAAAUGGACAUUCAGAUAGCUCUUCCUUCUGGAUGUUACAGAAGAGUAGCUCCAUGGUUUGGAUUAGCUGCAAAACACUUUAUUGAUAGAUGA